rnacentral:tRNA from 1 species
GGUUUAUAGCUCAGCGGUAGAGUGCUUGCCUUGCACAUGUGAAGCACUGGGUUCGAUCCUCAGUACCA